UUACAAGAGCCGUAACGGCCGUAACUAAAGUCGUUCAGGUUAUAAGAGCUCAUUUCUUUAAAUGAACGUAAAUAAGAUUGCAAGUGAAAUAAAUUAUUUUCAUUUUUUGUGCAUUACAACCUUAUGUUGUUAAUCAGUCAGCAGCACAAUAUGCUGAUGUUAAAUAACAUAUUGUUCGUACAUUUUAUAGUUUCAUAACUAAGAAAUACUUUCUUUUUUAUUCGUAACAAGAAAAAAAGAAAUUAUGGAAGAAGAGAACGUUUUGGAUUAUUUGAGGAGAACGAUGAGCUCGACGAUAAAGAGCUCAAUAGUUCAGGCAAAUUUUUUUUGUGUAACGAAUUAGAAAAACUAUGUAGCAACAAUGACAUAAAGAGAUUAGCUUGUGCUACUGUUGAGGAACAAUUGUCCAAAAACAAGACUGGUAAGUAUUUGCAAGAUUUAUUUACUUGAAAUCUGUCAAGUGCUCAGAAAUUUUUAUUAAAAAUAUUAGGCGACUAAAAUUAAAGCAGCAGAAAUGAUAAACGGCAGAAAAUUAAAGAAGCUGGGAUUUAAACUCAGGAUUCUUUCAUUCCAAUAGAGAGAGAGAGAGAGCGAGAGAGAGAGAGAGAGAGAGAGAGAGAGAGAGAGAGAGAUGAGGGAGAGGGAGAGGGAGAGAGAGCUAAAGGACAAUGAAUAAUCUUGCUGUGUUCGAAAUAUUAAAGCUACAAAAUUUGCAAAUAAAGAGGAGUUGCAUACACAAUAUACAUAUAUUUAAAUCUUUUCGCAUUCUUUGAGUGAGCGUCAUUAUAUUGAUUGUAUCCUCGAGACAAAUUGCAGAGUUUUUUAAAAAAACUGGUUCCUGUCGGUGACGUUUCGGCGACACAAUCAAAACAUGGGAGCGGCAGCUAUGCGGUAAUAAUAUUAUCGUGAUUAAAAUAUCGAGAAAAGAAUAGAAUUGCACUAUGAACAUUUUCUUGUGUAUAUCGUAUGAUGCUAGAAAUCGGUUCAAAUUCUGGAUCCGAAAAAAAAUUACUGAAACUCGAUUCGUGCAAUGAACACAAGCAACUCGGAUGAAAAUUUCAUAAUAUAGAAACCUCGUAUAGAAAAAUGCAUCCUGUCCCAUUUUUCCGUACUAGAUUCAAUUUAUACUGCCAAUAUUAAUUUCUUAUAAAUAAUAGAUGAAUGUAGGUUAAUGUAACGUUGGACGGAAAUUGGAAUGCAUCGGAAAUUGUAAUUUUCACAAUCUUUAAUAAAUAAAAAUCAUAAUAUUUUAAUAUUACUAUAAAAUUCAGUAGAUAACCUCAGAUAUUCGAGUAUAAUGCUAUCUAGAGUCAUCAAAAUACAACCAUUUCUAUUUGAGAACUUGAAUCGGGAAGUUAUGCAAAGUUAGACAAUCGGGGCUUAGCGCUUAUCUUUAUGACCGAAACCGACAUCAACGGACGACUCAAGGCAUCGCCGAAUACAAAUUGAUGAAAUUACGCAAUCAAAUUUCGCAUAUUUUCAGCGAUGUUAUUCUAAUAAAUGCAUCGUCAACGUAAACAAUUUUUUUUAAGAUCUUUUUUAAGUAUAUGUCGAUAUUAAAGAAGAUUUACCACUUUUAUCGCCGAAUUUUUUUUAUGGUAAGGGAUGAAGGACGUUUGUUCUACUACAAUGCUCCUUAAUUAUUCAAAAACAGGCGUAUAAAUAGGCCAAAGCGAAUCGCAAAAUUCCACCGUUUGAUGUGCACUCUACAGCGAUUCAAAGGAAGACCCCAAGGAACUUCGAUUCCUGCUAAAUUGUAAUAGCCAAACAUGCAAAAAUACGACUAAAGCACGCUGAUUUUCAAUAGUUUUGAUAUCGUACUGGUAUCUGUAGUGGAAAUUAGUCUUAAGGAUUAAGAAACGUGCGCGGCGAUGGAGGAAGGUUGGCAGCAUUAUAUAACAGUUUAUCCGAAGCAAUUGAAUCAAUUCUCAUUACUAAAAAAAUGGAACAAAAAAAUGAUUUGAAAUGAUAGAACAAACACAAAUAAAAUUGAUCAAUGAUAACAAUGCGGAUUGCGUAAAACACAAUAUCCACAAUGAUACGAGGAUCACAUUAAGUCCAAAAAAUCAAAGCGACAUUGAAUAUUAUGAACUUCUAGAGGCGAAGAAUGCUGAUCAAUACAUCAAAGAAUGUGUAAAAAGUAUAAAGCAUAUUAUUGAUCAGAAUCCUGCAAAACCAAAAGAUUAUGAUGAAUGGACUACUAAAAAACAAUAUGAGUACAUUAUGACUAACUUGAAAAAAUAUUUUGUGGGAGUACCAGAUUCUUUAUUAUUUUUUAUACCGGCUGCCUUCUAUCGGGGAGAUUGCGGUCGACGUUCAUUGGACAAGCCUUUCUGGUUAGACAUGAAAAAGUUCCAGAGAGGCCAAAAGUUUGCACGAGAUCACAUUUUCUCGUUGCUUUUUGCUAAUAUAGUGUCGCUUUUUGGCUUAUUUACUUUUGAAGAUGGACUUAAACCGUUGAUUCUCAACCAAAAAUCUCAUACGCCGUAUUUAGCGUUUAAAAGGUACUUGUCUACGAAUAAUCGUAUAAAUAAUUGGAUGAUGGAAGAUCCAUGGACUGUGGGCACAAAAGCGUUUAAAGAUAUACAAACUGUGCGUAAAAUGCAUCGCGCCGUACGAACAAAAAUGUGCGAGUACGAAAACAAGAAGAUCGAUGCGGCCUGUAAAAUUGAGAGACCAUUGUGUCCGGACAGACACAUAAUUUUACAAGACUUUGCUUCCUGUCCAUAUCCGACAGUUGAGAAAGGAUGUGUCCACCUAUUAGUAACACCGAAGGGCUUGAAUCAAGCUGAUAUGGCAGCGACGCAAUUCGCUUUUAUCGGGAUGGCAAUUCUAUAUUCUGAAGAAUUCGGAAUUUAUGCCAGCGAUGAAGAUCUGGAUGCUUUUUGCCACACAUGGCAAGCUAUAGGGUAUCUUCUUGGCGUAGAAGACCAAUACAAUUUCUGCCGCGGUAGUUUAGAGGAAGUGAAGCAAAGAUCGCGCGACUUUAUUGAAGUUUGGGUAAAACAUUACUUCCGGCAAGUAACUCCCGAUUGGGAACAUAUGUUAAGAUGUGCUGUAGAAGGUGCAAGAUAUCAAGGUAGUUUCUUUACAUUCAAAACUUUACUAGUGUUUUUAACUGAGUUACUGAUGAUCGAUAUGCCACGUUUGAGGAGUAAUCUCACUUAUAUUGAACGGUUUCAACUUAUGUUUCAACGUUUUAUAUUUCGCUAUGCCAUGAAGUGGAGAUUUAUAAGACAAAUACUAAAUAAAAUAGUUUGUUAUAAAAUCGCUCAAGCAAACAAUUAUAGUUCUGAAAAACAUGAAAAACUCAAAAAGCUUUCCCAACAAGUUUUAGAUAAGAACUAAGAGUCUUCGUAUAUACAAAAUUACUUUGUGAAAAGAAAAUUAUAUCUGUUUAAUGCUAUAUAACUUUACAAAUUUAUUUUAGUAGAUUGUAAUUAUAUGUAUUUGUAACUAUAUGUAUUAAGAUUACAAAGAACAAUAAAAAUUCGAUGAGUUUUUUUUUAUAUUUAUGUUAUACACUGUCUGAUAUGUUUCCGUAAGAACGAACGAGACGAAUCCAUUUCGUUCGACGAUACUGUCCGAGGCAAAGACAAACGGUAACGGUUAUCACCGCGAAAUAUCAGCUUAACUAUGUUUCAAAUGCCAGAGGCGACGAUAUAGACACGCGCGCCGUUAAUCCGCGAACAUGCGCCGUUAUUUCACGAGAAUUUGUCAAGCCUUCCGCGCGCUCUCUCCGCACUCACGACAGACCGCAUCGCUAAUUGGAUGCAAGAUACGAAGCUACGUUUCACUAGGACGAAUCCAUUAAUAUCGUCUUCGACAGAUGGGCUCGCGCGCAAACCCGGUGGUCCGACGAGGGAGGAUUUCUCGCGUCGUCAUUAAUCACUGAAACAGGAACCGCUCGGUGCUCGGGUCGCGCUUAGAAAGCGCCUGGUUUCUCGCAAAGAUAUCGGCGCAUCACCGGGCACACGUGAUUUUCAUCCUCGUCACUCGUUAAACAGUUAAUCGAUAAACAUUGACAAUUCGGAUGUUACCAGCAGGGAGGACUGAGUUGCACAGUCAUUUAGGUUUAGCAAACAAACCCGAGCUCAAUACACCGUGAGCAUUCACAUACAUUUACAUGUUUCUACACGCACGCUGUUAUGAGUAAUAAUACAAGGAAACAAUUGAGGAAAAGUCAAAACAGAGGCAGACAUAAGGUUAACAAAUUGAAAUCGACGUACGUAUCUACGUGUUAAAAUAUUUUAUUAAGCGAAAACACCAUAAAAAUUUAAAA